rnacentral:lncRNA from 1 species
AGGAGAUUUGCAAACUCAUCAGAUGGAGACAGUGUACAAAAGAAGCAGGCAGAUUUAGAUUUCAUUCUGCCUCUGGUCAGUUUUGAAACUCAGAAGGCUUCCCCUUGUGUGCUCUGUGGAUCCCAGCAAGCUACGUUUGACACAUACUGACACACACACAAGUUAGCACCUGAUUCUAGCUGCCAGCCAAUAAAACAUCUUCAUUUCUUAGGAGAAAAUUGUUUCAUUAUAAAAUGGCUUGUGGGAACAAAUUGUCUUCCAGCUUUUUUGCGUUUUUUACACACACAGAACAAAUGAUCAGGCCAUUCAAGCUUCUAAAGUAUUUGAGCAAAAUUACCAGGUGGCAGAAAUCAGCUCCAGAGCAGCCUGGUCACUGGAGAGCACUUUGUAUGAGGAGCUGUAUAUGCAUGGACCCUGAUGCCAGCCAACCAUGUCCCUGUUGGGCUCAGAAGUGCAGGCAUCAACAGCAAUUUACAGGCAUCUUUCUGCUGCUCAGAGGAAGAUUCAGAAAUCACAUUGAUCUGAAACAGCAUCAUCUGGGAGCUUGUCAGAGAUCCACAGUCUCAAGCCUCCACCCCAGAACCACUGAGACAGAGUCUGAAGUUUUAAAGUCUCCAGGAGAUUUGUACACAUGUCAAGUCUAA